rnacentral:rRNA from 1 species
GAUGAACGCUGGCGGCGUGCUUAACACAUGCAAGUCGAACGGUGAAGCAGGAGCUUGCUCCUGUGGAUCAGUGGCGAACGGGUGAGUAACACGUGAGCAAUCUGCCCUGGACUCUGGGAUAAGCGUUGGAAACGACGUCUAAUACCGGAUACGAGGCGUGGGGGCAUCCCCAACGCCUGGAAAGAACUUCGGUCCAGGAUGAGCUCGCGGCCUAUCAGGUAGUUGGUGAGGUAACGGCUCACCAAGCCUACGACGGGUAGCCGGCCUGAGAGGGUGACCGGCCACACUGGGACUGAGACACGGCCCAGACUCCUACGGGAGGCAGCAGUGGGGAAUCUUGCGCAAUGGGCGAAAGCCUGAUCCAGCAACGCCGCGUGAGGGAUGACGGCCUUCGGGUUGUAAACCUCUUUCAGCAGGGACGAAGCGAAAGUGACGGUACCUGCAGAAGAAGGACCGGCCAACUACGUGCCAGCAGCCGCAGUAACAC